GGGUUGUGAGGUUAAGCGACUAAGCGUACACGGUGGAUGCCAUGGCAGUCAGAGGCGAUGAAGGACGUGCUAAUCUGCGAUAAGCGUCGGUAAGGUGAUAUGAACCGUUAUAACCGGCGAUUUCCGAAUGGGGAAACCCAGUGUGAUUCGUCACACUAUCAUUAACUGAAUCCAUAGGUUAAUGAGGCGAACCGGGGGAACUGAAACAUCUAAGUACCCCGAGGAAAAGAAAUCAACCGAGAUUCCCCCAGUAGCGGCGAGCGAACGGGGAGCAGCCCAGAGCCUGAAUCAGUGUGUGUGUUAGUGGAAGC
rnacentral:rRNA from 1 species